rnacentral:tRNA from 1 species
GUCAGGAUGACCAAGGGGUCAAAGGCGCCAGACUCAAGGUGUGAUACCUUUCCGAAACACGGGUGUUCUGGUCUCCGGAUGGAGGCGUGGGGUCAGAUCCCACUUCUGACA